UACGUAGGGGGCAAGCGUUGUCCGGAUUUAUUGGGCGUAAAGAGCGUGUAGGCGGCCAGACAGGUCAGCUGUGAAAACUCGAGGCUCAACCUCGAGACGUCGGUUGAAACCGUCUGGCUAGAGUCCGGAAGAGGAGAGUGGAAUUCCCGGUGUAGCGGUGAAAUGCGCAGAUAUCGGGAAGAACACCCCGUGGCGAAGGCGGCUCUCUGGGGACGGUACUGACGCUGAGACGCGAAAGCGUGGGGAGCGAACAGGA
rnacentral:rRNA from 1 species